AAAAUUUGUAUGGGAUAUCAACUUUUCGCUCCUGCAUUUUAAAUUUGUCUGCGAUUGGCAAAAAUAAACCGCAUUAUUUUGGGUUGAUAAUAUUUUAGUCAGUGGCAGCCCUAGUAACUUCGGUCACCCGUUUACGGCGUGGUUAUUGUCGGCCGAUUGUAAAGGUGUCUCGUGACACCGCUACAAUACUCUGUAUGUCUCACUAACGACUCUUUUAUACGUCCGUCACGUCGACUGACAUAUAUCGACUAUUAUUACUACACCUUUUGAACGCUUUAUGCCAUAAACACAAACACCACCAAGCUCCCGGGCGCAAGGGAGCUAAUGAAAACCUUACUUGAAAGUGUGAAAGUUACUUUGACAGCGUCUGCCAUAACACCAGACCUAAUAUAAUUGUUCUUGGCUGUUGGUACGACAAGUAACGACGACUUUACGUGUUCUUCAAAAGGUUAAGGUGACGUGCGGAUGAUAACUGUUGCGGCUUUUGCAGCGUUGACGCGGCCGGUGUCACUGUCAAUCUCACUCUUGAAAGUUAUAAGUAAUCGCUGCAAUAAUGGAGCAGUGAUGUGAAAUUGACAGUGACUUAGCCCGCGUUCACUCAACUCAUCUACAAGGAGUCAUUCGUAAAGAUUGCAUGUGCAACUGUGCCUAAAUACGCGGGAACUGAUAUUUGACAUUAAGAAGAUUCGUCGAGGAUUCUGGAAAGAGAAAUUAAUUUAGUCAUCGUUCAAAAAGUCAAAGGCAGCGGCGUAGCGAUUUGAACUACAUUCACACCCAAGGGCAACUAAAUUGGAUCGUUUGUACCGGGUGCGCGCGCGAGUGUAUGUAGAAGUGGGCUAAACUAGCCACGGAGUGGGUGUCAACGUAAAUGCCAGCAUGGCCGGCCUAAGAGGAGAUGACGGGACGCCCUGGACGCAUUUCUCAGCGAAGUCUAGAGGGGGAGAGGCCUUUGCCCAGCAGUGGGACACUAUAUAGGCUCGUUAAAAAAAAAAACUCUAAAAUACAACUUAAUCAAGUUUCUAAUUUCUUCACAAUAAAUCUACCUAAUAUUCUAUUGCAAAGAUGCAACAAGUUAGCAAUCUUUACGCCUUUACGGUCGAAUAUUAAAUUCUCUCGCUCAGAAGAACUUGGCUCGUUUAUUAUAAUAACAUUUUCGUUAAGUUUUAUAUAAAAAAGAUUUUUAGAAGUAACCUUUUCCGAAGAACAGUUUCAAUGAUUAUUAUGAUUGCAGGAGAAGUUUUUUAAAACUUUCUAUGUAAUAAAAUGUGGAGUCCCUUUUUGUGGGUUUUUAAAAAGCUGCGGAAUGGUUUUUGUAAAUAAGCUAUACGCUUUACGUUUAUAUAAAACGCCAAUUUAUAUUAUUUACACCUUAGGCUUUUCUUUAGAAAAAAUAGUAACCGAUAGGCAAUUAGGCUUUCAUUUAUAUUACGUAUUAGGUAAAUUUACAAAUCGUCACCUAAAGUCAAUUAAAACUCCAUUAACUCCAUUUUUUUAAACAUGUUUUGACAUUUUAAGAUAUUUUGAACGCACCUAAUGGCAAAACUCUUAUACAAAGAAAAAACCGUUUACAUUUAAAAAGAAAACUUUCCGACCGCCAUGUUAUUAAAGUAAAAUCACGUAUCUCCCCCCGCUCAGUUUCAGACGUUUGAACAUACGAAGUUUGCUUCUCAUUAUUCUUUCACUAGCAGUAUACCUAAACAUAUUAAACUCAUAACCAAGUCGUUUCAGCACGUUAAAUAUUAGUCUAGAAGAGGAUAAGGAUUUAGAAGAUAUUCCAAGACGAAAGAGAUCAAACAUAAGGAAUUAAGCGAUUGCGAAAAUAAUGAACAUAAUAAUUGCGGGAAAAGGGUCAACAAUACUAGGGGAAAAAAUUAAUGUAUGAAAUUAUAGUAAAAGCAAAGCGGAAAUAAAGAACACUAAAACCAAGAUCCAAGAGUAAAUUAAGUCCACAAAUUUGAAGUAUUUUAAUUAUUUUACAAGUCUACAAUAACUUGUUCGGUUUAAAAGAUUAUCGUCUAUUUUUUAAAGAAAAACUCCUAUAUCCCAUUUUUCCAAACAAUA